GAUAACUCCAUGAGCGGAAUGACAUGGCCUUGUGCAGGGAAGGGUAGCACCAUGACAUGAGGUUGAGCAGCAGCAGCCAUGGAAGAUUGAAAUAUGUCUUCUUAGAAUGGUCUAUGGCUACAAGAAGCUUUUGAGAUGAAAUACUGGACUUCUUGUGGAUAGAUAUAGCCUGAUAGGUCCAAUAGACUUUGUACACCAAGGGCCACAUAGGCAUUCCUAUUGCAUCAGCAAAUAUGUAAUCUGUUGAGUGUAGGUUUCUCCUUUCCCAAGAAAAGGUAAUCAAACAAUCAUUUAUAUAACUUAUUAACUAAAUUAUCAAACUUGAUGACCACGUUGCUGUCUUUGUCAUGUUAGGGCAAGCAAAAUAGUCAAUAUAUUAUAAGGAAGGAGAUGCCACACGGGAUUGACAUUUGAUUGCUGCUAGAUGUGGCCGUGUAUGAAAUGACUACCAUAUUUGCAUACCUUAUGCACAUGUCGUUUAGGAGUAAAUUGGUCACAUUUGAAGAGCAACCAUCCCUCCGGUUUUCUGGGUGCCUGCAUUUUUUCAGGUUGCCAUCCUCAAGUAGCUUGGGAACGUGCAUCCUGAGCGCCACCACGGCGGCGGAGAAGGUCGAGAACAAGGCGACAUGGAC